GGGCGCUUCAGACGUUUUUCUUUUUUAGUUGAAGUAUUAAGAAUUAAUCGUGUUUCUCUUGGUUUUAAAAUAUUAUAUUAUAAUCUAUAUUGUGUUUUUUUAUUUUGUAUGAUAUACCAUACUAUUGUCCAACUGUGAAGAAGUAGGUAGGUAGCCAAUUUUAAUAGUGCAGAUCUUCGAAGACCAGAAUGUGUAGAUGUGAAUUGGAAAGUGGCAACAUAUACCUAAUUCAGACUUCAGAGAUUCAGUUAGACAUGAUUUAUGGAAAUUGGAUUCAUUAAUUUUUGGACAUUCAAAAAUAUACCAUACUACUAUAGUACUAUUGUCUGAUUGUGAAGAAGCAGGUAGUCAAUUUUAAUAGUGCAGAUCUUCGAAGACCAGAAUGUGUAGAUGUGAAUUGGAAAGUGGCAACAUAUACCUAAUUCAGACUUCAGAGAUUUAGUUAGACAUGAUUAUGGAAAUUGGAUUCAUUAAUUUUUGGACAUUCAAAACUAUACCAUACUACUAAAGUAUUAUUGUCUGAUUGUGAAGAAGCAGGUAGUCAAUUUUAAUAGUGCAGAUCUUCGAAGACCAGGAUGUGUAGAUGUGAAUUGGAAAGUGGCAACAUAUACCUAGUUCAGACUUCAGAGAUUUAGUUAGACAUGAUUUAUGGAAAUUGGAUUCAUUAAUUUUUGGACAUUCUAAACUAUACCAUACUACUAUAGUACUAUUGUCUGAUUGUGAAGAAGCAGGUAGUCAAUUUUAAUAGUGCAGAUCUUCGAAGACCAGGAUGUGUAUAUGUGAAUUGGAAAGUGGCAACAUAUACCUAGUUCAGACUUCAGAAAUUUAGUUAGACAUGAGUUAUGGAAAUUGGAUUCAUUAAUUUUUGGUCAUUCAAAGUAGCUUUAGAAACCCUAAUAAAUGUAUUUUCUAUCUAAUAAUUGUAUUAAAUAUAAUUAAAUAAGAUUUUAUA